AUUGAACGCUGGCGGCAUGCUUUACACAUGCAAGUCGAACGGCAGCGCGGGGGCAACCCUGGCGGCGAGUGGCGAACGGGUGAGUAAUGCAUCGGAACGUAUCCUGUAAUGGGGGGAUAACGUAGCGAAAGUUACGCUAAUACCGCAUACGCUCGAGAGAGGAAAGUGGGGGAUCGCAAGACCUCACGUUAUAGGAGCGGCCGAUGUCCGAUUAGCUAGUUGGUGGGGUAAAAGCCUACCAAGGCGACGAUCGGUAGCUGGUCUGAGAGGAUGAUCAGCCACACUGGGACUGAGACACGGCCCAGACUCCUACGGGAGGCAGCAGUGGGGAAUUUUGGACAAUGGGCGAAAGCCUGAUCCAGCCAUGCCGCGUGCGGGAA
rnacentral:rRNA from 1 species